rnacentral:lncRNA from 1 species
UAUAACGUGAAAAAGAAACCUCUUUCUCCAACCCCGUCCUGGGGGCCACCAUUACCACCAGACUCUUGUCUUUUCUGUCAGAUCUCUUCUAUGGAUAUAAUGGAAGUUAUUUAUCACAUGGGACCUUAGAGUUGGAGAUCAUUAACUUGCCUGCUUUUCUAAGCUGGUCUUUCCCACUUUGCCCCUUCAACCCCCCUUCUUGUGGCAGCACACAAACCGUGGGCCUCCCUUAUUUGUCCAGCUCCCCCUUCCCAAGCCCCCUCCACCUGGUAAUGAUUUCCUAGAGCGUCUCCCAGGGGUCUCCAUGGGGACGUUUCCUGCUCCAAUCUCCAUGGCAACUCUUCAGGUUGCCAUGGUGACACUUAAGCGAUUAUUUGGAGACCCUUAAAUAAAUCACCCGUGGUGGUAUAUGCUAGACGUGUUUGGCUCUGGCUCUUGUGUUUGGGGCCAGGGUUGGGGCCCAGGCCCGAAGGCAGAAAAUGUGGGGAGGUGGGAGAUGGUGGUCAGAGCCCGAUGCCCUUGGUCUGGCCCUGUGAGGGGCCCUCUUUGGGCAAAAUUGGAAUUGAGCCUUUUGUGAAGUGGUGGGAGGACAACAGGCAGUUAUGCUUGUGCAGUCCUUAAAUAGGGAGACCCUGCAGCCAGCAGGACAUCUUAACUCUGAUCAGGAUGGGGGCAACUUGGAGCUAUGCAGUAACCAAGCAGGGAUUCCACUCCAGGCCUGCUGGGCUCCAAGGCCCUCACUCCUCCUUGACGUCAAAUUCUAAAAGGGAAUUUAAGAUGGAAUCCACUCCUUCAUAUAUUCAUUUAUUUGACCGAUGUGUUUAAAGUGGCUACUAUGUGCCAGGCACUGUGUGCUAAGCAUUGGGAAUACAGCAGUGAAUUAAAAAACAAAACCCCUGUCCUCAUGGAGCUUAUAUUCGACCAGCGAGAGGCAGACAAUUAGCAAAACAAAACAUCCAUGGCCGGGCGCAGUGCUUCAUGCCUGUAAUUCCAGCAUUUUGGGAUGCCAAGGUGGGUGGAUCACCUGAGGUCAGGAGUUCGAGACCAGCCUGGCCAACAUGGUGAAACCCCAUUUCUACUAAAAAUACCAAAAUUAGCCGGGCAUGGUGGUGUGUGCCUGUAAUCUCAGCUACUUAGGAGGCUGAGGCAGGAGAAUCAUUUGAACCCAGGAGGCA